rnacentral:rRNA from 1 species
GACGAACGCUGGCGGCGUGCCUAACACAUGCAAGUCGAACGGAAAGGCCCUUUUGGGGGUACUCGAGUGGCGAACGGGGGCGUAACACGGGGGUAACCAGCCCUUGACAUCUUGAUAAGUGCAGGAAACUGGGGCUAAUACCGGAAAGGAAGCCUUGCAGCUUGGUGGGGGUUGGAAGGCUUCUGCGGGCUUGGAUGGACUGGCGGCGUAUCAGCUCGUUGGCGGGGUAGUGGGUUACCAAGGCUUUGACGGGUAGCCGGCCUGAGGGGGUGACAGGCGACACUGGGACUGAGAUACGGCCCAGAUUCCUACGGGAGGAAGAAGUGGGGAAUAUUGCACAAUGGGCGGAAGCCUGAUGCAGAAGCGCUGCGUGCGGGAUGACGGCCUUCGGGUUGUAAACCGGUUUCAGCAGGGGCGAAGCUUGUGGUGACGGUACCUGCAGAAGAAGCACCGGCUAACUACGUG